AUGAAUCAGAUGAAAUAUAGCGAGCUUUCACUUGUGAUUACUGGAACCGUGAAAAAUGGAUAUGGAAUGGUUUUAGAGCUUUUAAAAUUUAGAAUGUCCGAUUAGAAACUUCUGCAAUGCGUAUGGUAGUUUUUCUUUUUCAUAUUUAAUUCUGGAUUUUUUUUUUAAAUAAAAAAUUGAUGAGAUGAAGAAGAUGAAGAUCUUGGAUUAAGGAUGAAGAUGAUGAUUUGUACAUGACACAUCACUACUAAACAACCACAUAAGCAGUUUUUAACAGAGUUUUAUAGGAAAAUGUA
rnacentral:lncRNA from 1 species